rnacentral:rRNA from 1 species
UAAUUCCAGCUCCAAUAGCGUAUAUUAAAGUUGCUGCAGUUAAAAAGCUCGUAGUUGGAUCUCGGGUGCAGGCUUGCGGUCCGUCUCGCGGCGGUCACUGCUCGUCCUGGCCUCCACGCCGGCGCACCGUCCCUUGGUGCUCUUGACUGAGUGUCUCGGGCGGCCGGAACGUUUACUUUGAAGAAAUUAGAGUGCUCAAAGCAGGCCUUUGCCGCCUGCAUAAUGGUGCAUGGAAUAAUGGAAUAGGACCUCGGUUCUAUUUUGUUGGUUUUCGGAGCUCGAGGUAAUGAUUAAUAGGGACAGACGGGGGCAUUCGUAUUGCGGCGCUAGAGGUGAAAUUCUUGGACCGUCGCAAGACGAACUACAGCGAAAGCAUUUGCCAAGCAUGUUUUCAUUAAUCAAGAACGAAAGUCAGAGGUUCGAAGACGAUCAGAUACCGUCGUAGUUCUGACCAUAAACGAUGCCAACUGUCGAUCCGCCGGAGUUGCUUCAAUGACUCGGCGGGCAGCCUCCGGGAAACCAAAGUUUCUGGGUUCCGGGGGGAGUAUGGUUGCAAAGCUG